ACGGCCACUUGGGGCUUAUCCCUUAUAGACGUGAUUCGACUUGCCUCGGGUGAAUCCUGAUUCUAUCGAAGAUAUACACGCGCCUAAUCCCGAGGCCUAUGGCGUCUUCACCGGAUUAUUCGAGUCUCUGAUUGAGGUCCCUGUAUUACGUUUUAGGACUGACGAUGUUCAUUUCGACUUGGAUUGGAAGCGAACCAGAAAAACUAAGUACAGGAAGCUUUAAUCUCGUUAAAGAAUGAACUCAAAGGGACCUAUUACACGCUCAGAACAUUAGACAAACAGAUCCGGCAACAAUUACUGGAUGAUCAUUUCCUGUUCGAGAAAGGUACAAGGAUAUUUUUUAACGAGGAGAAAACUUUCCUUGUCUGACGAAACUUGGAGGAUCACAUGCGUCUGAUAUCGAUGGAACGAGAUGGUAACCUCGCGGCGGUGUACGAGAGACUCGUUAAAGUGGUCCAAGAAAUCGAGAAGAAAUUGGAAUUCCUACGGUGCCGAAGACUCGGCUUCCUUACAUUUUGUUCUACGAAUCUUGGCACAGCCAUACCGGCCUUCGUGCUCGUUCACCUGCCAAAAUUCAGCGGGAUUUUAUCAACGAAGAGAUCGCGGUCUUCAGAAGUCACGACGAGAUGAGGAAAUGGCGGCUCAGAAUGGCAUCGGGCAACGGCGGAGUCUACA
rnacentral:misc_RNA from 1 species